UUGCUCACUUCAGCAGCACAUAUACUAAAAUUGGAACGAUACAGAGAAGAUUAGCAUGGCCCCUGUGCAAGGAUGAAAUGCAAAUUCAUGAAGCGUUCCAUAUUUUU
ensembl:snRNA U6 U6 spliceosomal RNA